GCAAAAUGGUCAAACAACAAAUUAACAAAUUAAAAGACUAUUAACAAAUUAACAUUACGAUCAAAUAAAUAGUUGCAGAUUAUUAGAUUGCUCAAUUGGUUCUCACGAAUAUGAAGCAUUUCAAUUCUUGUUGGGUAAAUUCUAAUUUCGAAUCCAUUAUAUAAACAAUCUCUUAAUAAAAGACUAAAUCAUUAAUUUUUCUCCCAUCUUCAUUCAGAGUACUGUUCGUCCUCUUCACAAAUUUAUCUUCAUGCAUUUCUUUUUUGCGAUUUUGUUGGUACAAUCUGUACCUUUUUGGGAUUUAGAUAUCGUAAAGGGAGGAGUGAUUUUGGAAAAAAAUUCUCGUAAAGUAGAGAAAUGGAGAUCGCAGUUUGUGAGGAAGAGGAAGGCGAUUUUGGGUCGUAGAUUGGUGGUGUUGACGGAGGGGAAGGUAGCUUUUUGGAAGACAGAGGUCGUCGGGAGGGAAUCUCUUCCUUCUGAGCAAAUUGCUUUAAGGGCCAACCUUUGCUUCCAUGAGUCCAAAGAGACUCAGCAAAAACAUACCAGAGUAUGAGCAGAGAUGCUUCUUCGAAAUGUCCAGAUUUCUCAAGAAGAUCAGACUUACGUCGAAGAUCCCCUUUUCUGUUGUGCAAUAUCUGCAGCUUCUAAGAAGUUUCCUUUUUCCUCUUCCAACAACAUAAGGUCAUCAAGACAAUUUAAAUGUUUCAAGAAGUCACGCAUCAAGUCAAUUGAUUGAAAAGCUUCGAAGAGGAAGAUGAUGGGGAUUUGAAUUUUCAUUUUCUUGCGGAUUUAGAGGUGAAUUUCAUUUGAUGGGGAUUAUGUUAGGUUUUUGAUAAGAUUUUGAAUUUUAUCAGAGGGAGAAAGAGGUUUUUAUAAUUUGUUAAUGGUAAUUUGUUGUUUGAUCAUUUUGCCCCUUAUUAAAUUAGAUUUGUUUAUUUUAUGAUUAAAAAACUAUUUUUUUUGCCACAUCAGCUUCUUAAG
rnacentral:lncRNA from 1 species